AGGCUAUUUAGUCAACUUUGAUUGAAUGAAAAAGGCGAGCAAGAAUUAAGUCACAUUUUCCCUCUGUCAAAUUCUCCUUCUUUCUUGAGUUCUGCUAUACUCUAAAUAGCAACUUUCUGAGUCUUGUCACCUUCCCAUUGUUUGAUGAGUUUAUUGCAUUUUAUAGACUACAGCUUUACAUGUUUGAUCAAACUAUCUAAGGCAUAAAAAAACAAUAAUUUAGGAAGAAUCCUUGAUUCAUACAUUGUGUCACAUAUAUACCAAGCAAAGAGCAAAAAAAUUCCAGGUUCCUUCUCUUUUGAAAUCACAAACAGGUAUUAUGAAGUAAUGACAAUUCAUUGUAAUAUAAUAGACAGUGUCCAAACAGUGCGUACAAAACAAUGCAUACAAAACAUUAAGAAAGAAUGAAUGAUAAGAACACAAACUCUCAAGGAUCAACCAAUCCCCUUUGUCUAUUUCACAAAAACAACAUAAGUCAAGGCCAUUAAAAAAAAGAGCUUAUGUAACAUUGCAAGGGGUUCUAUAUCAUCCUUAAAAAAAACUCUAAAUUUUCUAAAAUCAAAUCCUAAUGAAUUGAAGAUAGUUCAAAAAGGUUUGUUAUGAUUUGUUCACUAUUUUCAUUGAAAUUUUGAUUUUUAAUUUUUUAUUAUGAUUUGUUCUCUUUCCUAUAAGCAUUUCAAUCAUUCCAACAAAAAAAAAAGAUAAAGUAAAACAAAAACCUUAUGAUGACACGUUCAUGGCAGGUUGACAACGGCGACGACCAG
rnacentral:lncRNA from 1 species